rnacentral:rRNA from 1 species
AUUGAACGCUGGCGGCAGGCCUAACACAUGCAAGUCGAACGGUAGCACAGAGAGCUUGCUCUCGGGUGACGAGUGGCGGACGGGUGAGUAAUGUCUGGGAAACUGCCCGAUGGAGGGGGAUAACUACUGGAAACGGUAGCUAAUACCGCAUAACGUCGCAAGACCAAAGUGGGGGACCUUCGGGCCUCACACCAUCGGAUGUGCCCAGAUGGGAUUAGCUAGUAGGUGGGAUAAUGGCUCACCUAGGCGACGAUCCCUAGCUGGUCUGAGAGGAUGAGCGGCCACACUGGAACUGAGACACGGUCCAGACUCCUACGGGAGGCAGCAGUGGGGAAUAUUGCACAAUGGGCGCAAGCCUGAUGCAGCCAUGCCGCGUGUAUGAAGAAGGCCUUCGGGUUGUAAAGUACUUUCAGCGGGGAGGAAGGCGGUGAAGUUAAUAGCUUCACCGAUUGACGUUACCCGCAGAAGAAGCACCGGCUAACUCCGUGCCAGCAGCCGCCGUAA